rnacentral:rRNA from 1 species
AUUGAACGCUGGCGGCAGGCCUAAAACAUGCAAGUCGAACGAAUGGCGGACGGGUGAGUAAUGUCUUGGAAACUGCCUGAUGGAGGGGGAUAACUACUGGAACCGGUAGCUAAUACCGCAUACCAUCAGAUGUUCCCAGAUGGGAUUAGCUUGUUGGUGGGGUAUCGGCUCACCAAGGCGACGCUCCCUAGCUGGUCUGAGAGGCGGACCAGCCACACUGUAACUGAGACACGGUCCAGACGCCUACGGGAGGCAGCAGUGGGGAAUAUUUCACAAUGGGCGCAAGCCUGAUGCAGCCAUGACGCGUGUAUGAAGAAGGUCUUCGGGUUGUAAAGUACUUUCAGCGGAGAGGCGUUACCCGCAGAAGAAGCACCGGCUAACUCCGUGCCAGCCGCCGCGGUAAUAC